UACGAAGGGGGCUAGCGUUGCUCGGAAUCACUGGGCGUAAAGCGCACGUAGGCGGCUUUUUAAGUCAGGGGUGAAAUCCUGGAGCUCAACUCCAGAACUGUCUUUGAUACUGGGAGCUCGAGUCCGGGAGAGGUGAGUGGAACUCCGAGUGUAGAGGUGAAAUUCGUAGAUAUUCGGAAGAACACCAGUGGCGAAGGCGGCUCACUGGCCCGGUACUGACGCUGAGGUGCGAAAGCGUGGGGAGCAAACAGG
rnacentral:rRNA from 1 species